GGCUCAAACAUACCUCCCCAAGCACUGGAUUUACAGCUACCCGUGCUUUUCUAGCAGAUGCCUGGGCUCCUGGACAUACUGCUCUAAGGCUGUUUGAGACAGCACGCCUCCUGGCCCCCUAAGAUCAAGCUCUUUUAAAGAGCAUCCUAAAAAGAACCAGGUUUACACACAAAAGCCAGGAUGACUCCUAGCAGAUGCUUUGCUACCUAAAAGUUGUUACGUCAUGUAGAAAAUGAAGAAGGAAAGAAAGAAAA